AGGACGAACGCUGGCGGCGUGCUUAACACAUGCAAGUCGAGCGGUAAGGCCUUUCGGGGUACACGAGCGGCGAACGGGUGAGUAACACGUGGGUGACCUGCCCCCUACUCUGGGAUAAGCCUGGGAAACUGGGUCUAAUACCGGAUAUGACCUGAGGUUGCAUGACUUUGGGUGGAAAGCGUUAGUGGUGGGGGAUGGGCCCGCGGCCUAUCAGCUUGUUGGUGGGGUGAUGGCCUACCAAGGCUUCGACGGGUAG
rnacentral:rRNA from 1 species